rnacentral:rRNA from 1 species
GAUGAACGCUGGCGGCGUGCCUAAUACAUGCAAGUCGAGCGAAUGGAUUAAGAGCUUGCUCUUAUGAAGUUAGCGGCGGACGGGUGAGUAACACGUGGGUAACCUGCCCAUAAGACUGGGAUAACUCCGGGAAACCGGGGCUAAUACCGGAUAACAUUUUGAACCGCAUGGUUCGAAAUUGAAAGGCGGCUUCGGCUGUCACUUAUGGAUGGACCCGCGUCGCAUUAGCUAGUUGGUGAGGUAACGGCUCACCAAGGCAACGAUGCGUAGCCGACCUGAGAGGGUGAUCGGCCACACUGGGACUGAGACACGGCCCAGACUCCUACGGGAGGUAGUAGUAGGGAAUCUUCCGCAAUGGACGAAAGUCUGACGGAGCAACGCCGCGUGAGUGAUGAAGGCUUUCGGGUCGUAAAACUCUGUUGUUAGGGAAGGACAAGUGCUAGUUGAAUAAGCUGGCACCUUGACGGUACCUAACCAGAAAGCCACGGCUAACUACGUGCCAGCCGCCGCCGUAA